GUGGGGAAUAUUGGACAAUGGGCGCAAGCCUGAUCCAGCCAUGCAGCGUGGGUGAUGAAGGCCCUAGGGUUGUAAAGCCCUUUCGGCGGGGAAGAUAAUGACGGUACCCGCAGAAGAAGCCCCGGCUAACUUCGUGCCAGCAGCCGCGGUAAUACGAAGGGGGCUAGCGUUGCUCGGAAUCACUGGGCGUAAAGCGCACGUAGGCGGCUUGUUAAGUCAGGGGUGAAAUCCUGGAGCUCAACUCCAGAACUGCCUUUGAUACUGGCAAGCUUGAGUUCGGGAGAGGUGAGUGGAACUGCGAGUGUAGAGGUGAAAUUCGUAGAUAUUCGCAAGAACACCAGUGGCGAAGGCGGCUCACUGGCCCGAUACUGACGCUGAGGUGCGAAAGCGUGGGGAGCAAACAGGAUUAGAAACCCGAGUAGUCC
rnacentral:rRNA from 1 species